rnacentral:rRNA from 1 species
CGUGUCGUGAGAUGUUGGGUUAAGUCCCGCAACGAGCGCAACCCCUAUUGUUAGUUGCCAUCAUUCAGUUGGGCACUCUAGCGAGACUGCCGGUAAUAACGGAGAAGUGGGAUGACGUCAAAUCAUCAUGCCCCUUAUGACCUGGGCUACACACGUGCUACAAUGGUUGGUACAACGAGUUGCGAGUCGGUGACGGCGAGCUAAUCUCUUAAAGCCAAUCUCAGUUCGGAUUGUAGGCUGCAACUCGCCUACAUGAAGUCGGAAUCGCUAGUAAUCGCGGAUCAGCACGCCGCGGUGAAUACGUUCCCGGGCCUU